rnacentral:rRNA from 1 species
UACGGAGGAUGCAAGCGUUAUCCGGAAUGAUUGGGCGUAAAGGGUCCGCAGGUGGCAAUGUAAGUCUGCUGUCAAAGAAUGAGGCUUAACCUCAUCAAGGCAGUGGAAACUACGUAGCUAGAGUACGGUCGGGGUAGAAGGAAUUCCUGGUGUAGCGGUGAAAUGCGUAGAGAUCGGGAGGAACACCAGUGGCGAAGGCGGCCCUCUGGGCCGGGUCUGACGCUGAGGCGCGAAGGCGUGGGGAGCGAUCCAG